GCCUGGGUGGCUCAGCCGGUUGAGUGUCUGACUUUGGCUCAGGUUGUGAUCUCGUGGUUCAUGGGUUCGAGCCCCACAUUGGGCU
rnacentral:tRNA from 1 species